UACCAAUUCCGGUUGAUCCUGUCGGAGGAUACUGCUAUUGGGAUUCGAUUAAGCCAUGCGAGUCUCUGAUUUCGGUCAGGGCGAACUGCUGAGUAACAUGUAGUUAAUCUGCCCUUAGGUCAGGGAUAAUCUCGGGAAACUGAGGGUAAAACCUGAUAAGAAAUCACAUCUGGAAGGAGUGGUUUCUGAAAGCUUCGGUGCCUAAGGAUGAGACUGCAGUGGAUUAAUUUGAUGUCGGGGUAAAAGCCCAACAUGCCUGUAAUCCAUAGGGGCCGUGAGAGCGGUAGCCCCCAGAUGGGUUCUGAGACACGAACCCAGACCCUACGGGGUGCAGCAGGCGCGAAACCUCUACAAUGCACGAAAG
rnacentral:rRNA from 1 species